rnacentral:rRNA from 1 species
UACGAAGGGGGGCUAGCGUUGUUCGGAAUUACUGGGCGUAAAGCGCACGUAGGCGGACAUUUAAGUCAGGGGUGAAAUCCCGGGGGCUCAACCCCCGGAACGGCCUUUGAUACUGGGGUGUCUUGAGUUCGGAAGAGGUGAGUGGAAUUGCGAGUGUAGAGGUGAAAUUCGUAGAUAUUCGCAGGAACACCAGUGGCGAAGGCGGCUCACUGGUCCGAUACUGACGCUGAGGUGCGAAAGCGUGGGGAGCAAACAGGG